CAUUUCCACCUCGCAUUUUCGAAUCGGUUCUUCAAUCGGUCAUCGGUUAUGCCUGACCCAAAACGCCAAUCCCUCGUCUGUGGAAUUGGGACAAGUAGUCAAGGUUUGUUACAUUUGUUGAAACACACAUCAAAGAAGCCAUUUUUAAGUCUUCAUAUUCAUGUUCAAUGCCUGAGUUUUGUUCACUUCCACUCUGCUGUUGUUGCCUAGGGACAAAUGGUGCUCCUCGACAGAAAUUUCGUAAAGGAGAUCGUUCACGUAGAAUGUGGAUAGCCCGCGAAGAGGAGAUAUUGGCUACCUGUUUACUUGACCUCGUUGCACGUGGCUGGAAAUCCGACAACGGAUUUCGCGCUGGGUAUCUCCAAAAAAUUGAGGACACUAUCCGCCAAGAAUUUCCAAAAUCAGACAUCCAAGGUACCCCACAUAUAACCUCCAAGAUUUCUGCUUGGAAGAAGAGCUACAGCAGUCUCAGGAAAAUCCUAUCAAGGACUGGCAUUGGAUUCAACCCCGAUGGCGAUCAUAGGAUCGAUUGCGAUGAUGAGUAAUGGAAGCAAAUUGUCCAGGCGGACAAGCAUGCCAAGGGCAUGCGGAAUAAAUCCUAGCCAAUAUGGGAGACAUGGAAGACCAUUUUUGGAGUGGAUCGGGCAAGUGGAGGUGGGUCUGAACAGGUUGACAAGGCUGCUGAAGAAUUGCGUCGACGACCAGCCACAGAACCAGCCACGAUCAGUGAGUGCAAUGAGAACGACUACUAUCCAUUUUUCGAUGAUGUUCCCAUCGAUGUCACAACUCCAGUUGCUGAACAGCAUGACAUUAACGACUACAGUUCUGGCAAAGAAGAAAAGGCAGCGUCUACAACCUAGGUUGUUGGACAGAAACGCAAAGCUGCGUCUGCUGAUGAUGCUCUCAUAGAUUUUCUGGCGAAGCUGCUUGCAGAGACCAACUCACGUCUGGAUGUUAUGAGUUCGAGAAUUGGAUACGAGUUUGAUUUGGGUAAGGCACGACAGGAGGUGUUCGACAAGCUUGGCACCGUCGACCGGCUGACACUAAAAGAGAAGUAUGAACUAUGCAACAUUAUGAGUGUCAAGAAGCAGUUCUUGGAGGUGUUUAUGGGGAUGCCUGCACAUGCUCGUCUAGGGUAUGUGACGAUGCUCCUGGAACAGAACCGCGAUGGUAAUUGAUGUCUGGGGUGGUGUUCCUGAUUGGGUUUACAAGACUUCUUUUUAGGUAUGUGAAUACUUUGCCAAAUAUGGCUUAUUUGUGUCCGCUUUUGGUGUGUAAUGCGGCAUAACUCAGAACUUGUAUUUUGAUUUUUGGGAGUGUGAUGGUGUGUUUGCUUACACGCUGGCUUGCACAAUUAUGUGUAAGGAUGUGUAUGCUUAUACAAUGGUUGCACCUAUUGUUUUUGGCAACCUAACAUAUGAUUGAAAUAUACUUUUGUAUAAUGAUUAGGUUUAUAUAUUGGUUA